AGACCUGAAAUCAGUCGAGGUUACCCGCUGAAUUUAAGCAUAUUAUUAAGCGGAGGAAAAGAAAAUAACAAUGAUUCCCUCAGUAACGGCGAGUGAAGCGGGAAGAGCUCAAAGUGAAAAUCGUGAGUCCCUUUGUUUGGCCUCACGAAUUGUAGCCUCUAGAAGCGUGGCCAGUGGAGGGGCAGGUCCAAGUUUCUUGGAACAGAACAUCAGAGAGGGUGACAGUCCCGUCCUUUGUCCUGCUUGUUAGGUCUCCACGUACGGUGCGCUUUUAUUGAGUCGCGUUCAUUGGGAUUUGAGCGCAAAAUGUGUGAUAAGUUUCACAUAAAGCUAAAUAUUGGCGUGAGACCGAUAGUGAACAAGUACUGUGAAGGAAAGAUGAAAAGGACUUUGGAAAGAGAGUUAAAAGUGUCUGAAAUUGCUGAAAGGGAAGCGAUUGAAACUUUAGCGUCUCUGGGGUGCCGAUUGGGUACUUGUAGUGUUGUGCUCCCACACUUCCGUUACAGGGGUAGGGGGCGUUCAGUACUGCUUUUGUCCAGUUCGAUCCCUGGAGGUUGGUCAGCAUCAGUGAACUGACUGACUAUACUCCCCGAGGAAGGUAGGUCUCUCGUGGGCUGUUAUAGCCUCUGGGUUUGUGUUCAGUUGUUCACUGAGGUGUGUUUUUUUUGCGUUCGUCAGCUUCAAUUUCGAGUACUGACGUUCUGCGAUGCUGUCCUUAACGGUUUCAACCGACCCGUCUUGAAACACGGACCAAGGAGUCUAACAUAUGUGCGAGUAUGCGGGCCGAACCCCUGUAUGCACAAUGAAAGUGAGAGUAGGGAGAGGUUUGUUUUUUUGGCAUGCCUCGCACCUACGACCGACCACGAGCUUUGCGAGAGGUUUGAGUUGUAGCACAUCUGUUAGGACCCGAAAGAUGGUGAACUAUGCCUGAGUAGGGUGAAGUCAGGCGAAAGCCUGAUGGAGGCUCGUAGCGAUACUGACGUGCAAAUCGUUCGUCAAACUUGGGUAUAGGGGCGAAAGACUAAUCGACCCGUCUAGUAGCUGGUUUCUUCCGAAGUUUCUCUCAGGAUAGCUGGAGUUCAAUUAGUUUUAUCAGGUAAAGCGAAUGAUUAGAGGCCUCGGGGGCGCGUUGCCCUCGCCCUAUUCUCAAACUUUAAAUGGGUAAGAUCCAGUGGUUACUUCACUGAACUGCUGGGGUUAAUAUGAACUCCAAGUGGGCCAUUUUUGGUAAGCAGAACUGGCGAUGAGGGAUGCUCCUAACGCUUGGUUAAGGUGCCCAAAUACUCGCUCAUGAGAUACCAUAAAAGGUGUUGGUUCAUUUUGACAGCAGGACGGUGGUCAUGGAAGUCGAAAUCCGCUAAGAAGUGUGUAACAACUUACCUGCCGAAUGAACCAGCCCUGAAAAUGGAUGGCGCUGCAGCGGGUUACCGAUACCAGGCCAUUACCGCAAGUUUGUGAAGACACUCGACUUUGGGCGGUAAUGAGUAGGAAGACGUGGGGAUCGUAGCGAAGCAUUCGGCGUGAGCCUGUGUGGAACGGUCUCUAGUGCAGAUCUUGGUGGCAGUAGCAAAUAUUCAAAUGAGAACUUUGAAGACUGAAGGGAGAAGGGUUCCAUGUGAACAGCAAUGGACA
rnacentral:ncRNA from 1 species